rnacentral:SRP_RNA from 1 species
UAGAGGUCCCCUCGCAAUGAUAGGUUGCAAACCCCGCCAGGCCCGGAAGGGAGCAACGGUAGUGACUGAUUCGUGUGCGAAGGCCAGGCUUUUACGG